rnacentral:rRNA from 1 species
AUUGAACGCUGGCGGCAUGCUUUACACAUGCAAGUCGAACGGUAACAGGUUAAGCUGACGAGUGGCGAACGGGUGAGUAAUGCAUCGGAACGUUCCCGGUCGUGGGGGAUAACGCAGCGAAAGCUGCGCUAAUACCGCAUACGAUCUAAGGAUGAAAGCGGGGGACCGUAAGGCCUCGCGCGAUCGGAGCGGCCGAUGUCAGAUUAGGUAGUUGGUGGGGUAAAGGCUCACCAAGCCAACGAUCUGUAGCUGGUCUGAGAGGACGACCAGCCACACUGGGACUGAGACACGGCCCAGACUCCUACGGGAGGCAGCAGUGGGGAAUUUUGGACAAUGGGCGAAAGCCUGAUCCAGCAAUGCCACGUGCAGGAAGAAGGCCUUCGGGUUGUAAACUGCUUUUGUACGGAGCGAAAAGGUCUCCUCUAAUACAGGGGGCUCAUGACGGUACCGUAAGAAUAAGCACCGGCUAACUACGUGCCAGCAGCCGCGGUAA